rnacentral:rRNA from 1 species
CGCGGUACACCCGCAGCACGAGUAGUGGUCACUUUUAUUGAGCCUAAAGCGUUCGUAGCCGGUUUUGUAAAUCUUCAGAUAAAGCCUGAAGCUUAACUCCAGAAAGUCUGAAGAGACUGCAAGACUUGAGAUCGGGUGAGGUUAAACGUACUUUCGGGGUAGGGGUAAAAUCCUGUAAUCCCGGAAGGACGACCAGUGGCGAAAGCGUUUAACUGGAACGAAUCUGACGGUAAGGAACGAAGGCUAGGGUAGCAAACCGGAUUAGAUACCCGGGUAGUCCUAGCUGUAAACAUUGCCCAUUUGAUGUUGCUUUUCCGUUGAGGGAAGGCAGUGUCGGAGCGAAGGUGUUAAAUGGGCCGCUUGGGAAGUAUGGUCGCAAGACUGAAACUUAAAGGAAUUGGCGGGGGAGCACCGCAACGGGAGGAAUGUGCGGUUUAAUUGGAUUCAACGCCGGAAAACUCACCGGGAACGACCUGUGCAUGAGAGUCAACCUGACGAGCUUACUCGAUAGCAGGAGAGGUGGUGCAUGGCCGUCGUCAGCUCGUACCGUAGGGCGUUCACUUAAGUGUGAUAACGAGCGAGACCCACAUCUUUAAUUGCAAAUGUAUAU